rnacentral:ncRNA from 1 species
UAAAUUAGCGCCAGGACUAUUGAUAGUUGACGAGGUAAGUAGUUAUCGAAUUUUCGGCGGAUGCUACUUUGGGUUUAUAUGCUCAUUAGGUUACUCUGAAAAAGCAAAAUUAAGAUUGUAACAAAAUAGUAAUUACAUA